rnacentral:rRNA from 1 species
UACGUAGGUGGCAAGCGUUGUCCGGAUUUACUGGGCGUAAAGAGCGCGCAGGCGGUCGUUCAAGUCGCGUGUGAAAGCCCCCGGCUCAACUGGGGAGGGUCACGCGAUACUGAUCGACUCGAAGGCAGGAGAGGGUAGUGGAAUUCCCGGUGUAGUGGUGAAAUGCGUAGAUAUCAGGAGGAACACCGGUGGCGAAGGCGGGUCUCUGGGCCGAAACUGACGCUGAGGAGCGAAAGCGUGGGGAGCAAACAGG